UCCACGCCGUAAACGAUGGACGCUAGCUGCGGGGAGAGUCGGCCCUCUCCGUGGUGCAGGUAACCCGUUAAGCGUCCCGCCUGGGGAGUACGGCCGCAAGGCUAAAACUCAAAGGAAUUGGCGGGGGCCCGCACAAGCGGUGGAGCGCCUGGUCUAAUUCGACGACAAGCGAAGAACCUUACCAGGGUUUGACAUUCCACCGUAUGCUUUUCCCGAAAGGGAAGAGCCUUCAG
rnacentral:rRNA from 1 species